AGAGUUUGAUCCUGGCUCAGGACGAACGCUGGCGGCGUGCCUAACACAUGCAAGUCGAGCGGGGAGAUGCCUUCGGGUGUCUUCUAGCGGCGGACGGGUGAGUAACGCGUGAGCAACCUUUCCUUCACAGGGGGAUAACGCAGCGAAAGCUGUGCUAAUACCGCAUAAGACCACGGGACUGCAUGGUUCUGAGGUCAAAGGAGCAAUCCAGUGAAGGGUGGGCUCGCGUCUGAUUAGCUAGUUGGUGAGGUAACGGCCCACCAAGGCAACGAUCAGUAGCCGACCUGAGAGGGUGAUCGGCCACACUGGGACUGAGACACGGCCCAGACUCCUACGGGAGGCAGCAGUGGGGAAUAUUGGGCAAUGGGCGAAAGCCUGACCCAGCAACGCCGCGUGAGGGAAGAAGGUUUUCGGAUCGUAAACCUCUGUCCUUGGUGAAGAGAAAAAGACGGUAGCCAAGGAGGAAGCCCCGGCUAACUACGUGCCAGCAGCCGCGGUAAUACGUAGGGGGCAAGCGUUGUCCGGAAUGAUUGGGCGUAAAGGGCGCGUAGGCGGCCUGUUAAGUCUGGAGUGAAAGUCCCGUUUUUAAGGUGGGAAUUGCUUUGGAUACUGGCGGGCUGGAGUGCAGGAGAGGUUAGCGGAAUUCCCGGUGUAGCGGUGAAAUGCGUAGAGAUCGGGAGGAACACCAGUGGCGAAGGCGGCUAACUGGACUGUAACUGACGCUGAAGCGCGAAAGUGUGGGGAGCAAACAGGAUUAGAUACCCUGGUAGUCCACACGGUAAACGAUGAAUGCUAGGUGUAGGGGGUAUCGACCCCUUCUGUGCCGGAGUAAACACAAUAAGCAUUCCGCCUGGGGAGUACGGCCGCAAGGUUGAAACUCAAAUGAAUUGACGG
rnacentral:rRNA from 1 species